AACGCGAAGAACCUUACCAGGUCUUGACAUACCAUUGACCGGUCCAGAGAUGGAUCUUUCCCUUCGGGGACAAUGGAUACAGGUGGUGCAUGGUUGUCGUCAGCUCGUGUCGUGAGAUGUUGGGUUAAGUCCCGCAACGAGCGCAACCCCUAUCGUUAGUUGCCAGCAGUAAGAUGGGGACUCUAACGAGACUGCCAGUGACAAACUGGAGGAAGGUGGGGAUGACGUCAAAUCAUCAUGCCCCUUAUGACCUGGGCUACACACGUGCUACAAUGGUUGAUACAAAGAGAAGCGAGACGGUGACGUGGAGCAAACCUCAUAAAGUCAAUCUCAGUUCGGAUUGUAGGCUGCAACUCGCCUACAUGAAGUUGGAAUCGCUAGUAAUCGCGAAUCAGAAUGUCGCGGUGAAUACGUUCCCGGGUCUUGUACACACCG
rnacentral:rRNA from 1 species